rnacentral:misc_RNA from 1 species
AAGUCGUAACAAGGUUUCCGUAGGUGAACCUGCGGAAGGAUCAUUAUUGAGUUAGGGUCCUCCGGGCCCGAACCUCCAACCCUAUGUUUAACUACUUUGUUGCUUUGGCAGGCCCGCCUUUCGGGGCCGCCGGAGGUGUUAAGUCACUUCUGGUCAGUGCUUGUCAGUAGCCCAAUUAAAUUCUUUAUAACUAUGAAGUCUGAAUCUUUAAUUAAAAUUUAAUUAAAACUUUCAACAACGGAUCUCUUGGUUCUG